GAGAUGUCACAAGUUUGGCGAUUGAAGAUUACAUUGAUCUAUUGUUACAACAAAGGCAUAAACGAAAACGAAAAUGAUGAACACAAAAUAGACAAACCACAAGCAGAAAAUAGAAGAACACAUAGAUUUACGUGAAAAAUCUUUUGUAGAAAAAAAAUCACAGGCGAGGGAGGAGAGCUUCACUAUUGAAUGAAAAAGGGAAUACAAAGUUCAAAGUACAAUCAAUCUGUCGCCUCUAGGGCAAAACGAAGAAACAAAUUCUUAAUAGGUUUCGAAUCUGAUCCGAUUCGUGCCUACCUUAGACAUUCAUUUUUCCUCCACAACUUAUUUUCCAAAUUAGUUGCACCGUGAAACUAUUGACGAGUCGGAGUUCCAAAACUGAAGUCGAUUACCAAUUUCGAGGCAUAUCUAACAAAUCUUCACCUUGACGAGAAAUUUCCUUUAAAUAAAGC
rnacentral:lncRNA from 1 species